rnacentral:rRNA from 1 species
UACGUAGGGUGCAAGCGUUAAUCGGAAUUACUGGGCGUAAAGCGUGCGCAGGCGGUUUUGUAAGUCUGUCGUGAAAUCCCCGGGCUUAACCUGGGAAUGGCAUUUGUGACUGGAAGGCUAGAGUGUGUCAGAGGGGGGUAGAACUCCACGUGUAGCAGUGAAAUGCGUAGAGAUGUGGAGGAAUACCGAUGGCGAAGGCAGCCCCCUGGGUCAAGAUUGACGCUCAUGCACGAAAGCGUGGGGAGCAAACAGG